rnacentral:rRNA from 1 species
GACGAACGCUGGCGGCGUGCCUAAUACAUGCAAGUGGGACGCAAGGAAACACACUGUGCUUGCACACCGUGUUUUCUUGAGCCGUGAACGGGUGAGUAACGCGUAGGUAACCUGCCUAUUAGCGGGGGAUAACUAUUGGAAACGAUAGCUAAUACCGCAUAAUAUUAAUUAUUGCAUGAUAAUUGAUUGAAAGAUGCAAGCGCAUCACUAGUAGAUGGACCUGCGUUGUAUUAGCUAGUCGGUAAGGUAAGAGCUUACCAAGGCGACGAUACAUAGCCGACCUGAGAGGGUGAUCGGCCACACUGGGACUGAGACACGGCCCAGACUCCUACGGGAGGCAGCAGUAUGGAAUCUUCGGCAAUGGACGAAAGUCUGACCGAGCAACGCCGCGUGAGUGAAGAAGGUUUUCGGAUCGUAAAGCUCUGUUGUAAGUCAAGAACGUGUGUGAGAGUGGAAA